AUUACCAGAGGGGCACGAAGGGGAGGAGAUAUCUGUGCUUAUCAGCUUAAUAUCUGAUACGAUCCCCAUGUGGGAUCCUCGAUAUUAAACUGAUUUUUGAAACAUGGCGAAGUGCUAGGAGCUUGCUCCACCUUUGCCGCGGAUCGGCCUGGUAUUGCAGGAGAUUUGUCAUGGUUGAGGUUUG